GUGUCAGCAGCCGCGGUAAGACGAACCGUGCGAACGUUAUUCGGAAUCACUGGGCUUAAAGGGCGCGUAGGCGGGCUCGUUAGUCAGGGGUGAAAUCCCACGGCCCAACCGUGGAAGUGCCUUUGAUACUGCGAGUCUCGAGGGGGAUAGGGGCGUGCGGAACUCAGGGUGGAGCGGUGAAAUGCGUAGAUAUCCUGAGGAACACCGGUGGCGAAAGCGGCGCGCUGGAUCCCUUCUGACGCUGAGGCGCGAAAGCCAGGGGAGCAAACGGGAUUAGAAACCCCAGUAGUCC
rnacentral:rRNA from 1 species